rnacentral:tRNA from 1 species
GCGCGAGUGGCGGAAUUGGUAGACGCGCACGGUUCAGGUCCGUGUGUUGGUAACGACGUGGGGGUUCAAGUCCCCCCUCGCGCA